UACGUAGGGUGCAAGCGUUAAUCGGAAUUACUGGGCGUAAAGCGUGCGCAGGCGGUUGUGCAUGAACGAUGUGAAAUCCCCGGGCUUAACCUGGGAAUGGCAUUGGUGACUGCACGGCUAGAGUGUGUCAGAGGGGGGUAGAAUUCCACGUGUAGCAGUGAAAUGCGUAGAGAUGUGGAGGAAUACCGAUGGCGAAGGCAGCCCCCUGGGAUGAUACUGACGCUCAUGCACGAAAGCGUGGGGAGCAAACAGG
rnacentral:rRNA from 1 species